rnacentral:snoRNA from 1 species
UGUGUGUGUGUGUGUGUGUGUGUGUGUGUGUGUGUGUGUGUAUGUGUGUGUGUUAUAUACAGACACACACACACACACACACACACACACACACACACAGAGAUAUAUAUAUAUAUAUAUAUAUAUAUAUAUAUAUAUAUAUAUAUAUAUAUAUAUAUAUAUAUACAUAU